rnacentral:rRNA from 1 species
CACGUAGGCACCAAGCGUUGUCCGGAUUUAUUGGGCGUAAAGGGCUCGUAGGCGGUUUGUCGCGUCGGGAGUGAAAACCAGGUGCUUAACACCUGGCUUGCUUUCGAUACGGGCAGACUAGAGGUAUUCAGGGGAGAACGGAAUUCCUGGUGUAGCGGUGAAAUGCGCAGAUAUCAGGAGGAACACCGGUGGCGAAGGCGAGUCCCUGGACAACACCUGACACUGAGGCACGAAAGCUAGGGGAGCAAACAGG